AGUGCGGACAGGAAAGACGGUUU
rnacentral:miRNA from 1 species